GACGAACGCUGGCGGCGUGCUUAACACAUGCAAGUCGAACGGAAAGGCCCCCAUCUUGGUGGGGGUGCUCGAGUGGCGAACGGGUGAGUAACACGUGGGUGAUCUGCCCUGUACUUCGGGAUAAGCUUGGGAAACUGGGUCUAAUACCGGAUAGGACCAUGGUUUAGUGUCUCAUGGUGGAAAGAUUAUUGUUUUGGUGCAGGAUGAGCUCGCGGCCUAUCAGCUUGUUGGUGGGGUAAUGGCCUACCAAGGCGUCGACGGGUAGCCGGCCUGAGAGGGUGGACGGCCAAAUUGGGACUGAGAUACGGCCCAGACUCCUACGGGAGGCAGCAGUGGGGAAUAUUGCACAAUGGGCGCAAGCCUGAUGCAGCGACGCCGCGUGGGGGAUGACGGCCUUCGGGUUGUAAACUCCUUUCGUUAGGGACGAAGCCGCACUUUUUUUGGGUGUGGUGACGGUACCUUUGUGAAGAAGCACCGGCUAACUACGUG
rnacentral:rRNA from 1 species